rnacentral:rRNA from 1 species
GAAUUCGAUUCGGUGUGACAAGGCCCGGGAACGUAUUCACCGCGGCGUGCUGAUCCGCGAUUACUAGCGAUUCCAACUUCAAGCAGGCGAGUUGCAGCCUGCUAUCCGAACUGAGACCGGCUUUCUCCGAUUAGCUCCACCUUACGGUAUCGCGACGGUUUGUACCGGCCAUUGUAGCACGUGUGUAGCCCCAGACAUAAAGGCCAUGCUGACUUGACGUCAUCCCCACCUUCCUCCGGUUUAUCACCGGCAGUCUCUGCAGAGUGCCCAGCAUAACCUGAUGGCAACAGCAGACAAGGGUUGCGCUCGUUGCGGGACUUAACCCAACAUCUCACGACACGAGCUGACGACAGCCAUGCAGCACCUCUACGAGCGUCCUUGCGGAAGUUCCCUUUCGGGAAUGGUCACUCGCUGUUCAAGCCUGGGUAAGGUUCUUCGCGUUAAUCACUA